rnacentral:ncRNA from 1 species
UGUCUUCGGGGCGGGGUGCAAUUCCCCACCGGCGGUAAUGCGGCGUUAGCCGACAAGCCCGCGAGCGAAAGCUGAUUUUGGUGAGAUCCCAAAGCCGACGGUAUAGUCCGGAUGGAAGAAGA